GAUGAACGCUGGCGGCGUGCCUAAUACAUGCAAGUCGAGCGAACAGAUGAGGAGCUUGCUCCUCUGACGUUAGCGGCGGACGGGUUAGUAACACGUGGAUAACCUACCUAUAAGACUGGGAUAACUUCGGUAAACCGGAGCUAAUACCGGAUAAUAUAUUGAACCGCAUGGUUCAAUAGUGAAAGACGGUUUUGCUGUCACUUAUAGAUGGAUCCGCGCCGCAUUAGCUAGUUGGUAAGGUAACGGCUUACCAAGGCAACGAUGCGUAGCCGACCUGAGAGGGUGAUCGGCCACACUGGAACUGAGACACGGUCCAGACUCCUACGGGAGGCAGCAGUAGGGAAUCUUCCGCAAAGGGCGAAAGACUGACGGAGCAACGCCGCGUGAGUGAUGAAGGUCUUCGGAUCGUAAAACUCUGUUAUUAGGGAAGAACAAAUGUGUAAGUAACUAUGCACGUCUUGACGGUACCUAAUCAGAAAGCCACGGCUAACUACGUG
rnacentral:rRNA from 1 species